UUGUGAGUUCUCUUAGUCUAUCUUCUCUCUGCAAAAGGAGUAGUCUGUUAACCUGUAUUUAAAAGAGACUCACCAAGAACUUAAUCAUGGAAGUUUCCUUCUCAAUUGUCUCUGCUUGGACAACUUCUUUAAGGGGUUAAGCUUUUUUGGACUUAUGGAAGAGUACUAAUGAUUGAUUCCGCUUUUCGACAGUAGGGGCAUGUGUUUUCUAUUAAGCUGUUUAAGCCUUUUGUCUCUUCCCUAUAUUUUAAACUAAUCUAGGUGAACUAUGAUUCUGUUCAUUCUGAGGCCUUUUAAUUGUGAGAAGAGGGGUUCUAUUUAAAGGCUUGUGGGUUGAUCAAGUGUAAGAGGUCUUCCUGUUCAAGCUCUAGUCAGUACUUACAAAGUUUGAAGAAUAAAAAUAACUUAACAUUUGUGUCCAAUGAGCCACUUAAAAAUAGGCGGAAGGACCAUGAUGAAGCCGAGAUUGAACGCAGAUAGGAGAUGAAGCCCAAAAGCAGUGGAGUGAACAAGAAUCUUGUUGAUUUCCAGUUAUGCCAGAUCAAAGUUCUGAUAACAUCUGUAGACUAGUAGUUUAAGUCACUUUGAUGUCAAAGAAUUGCUGAUCACCAUGAAAUUAGAUUGAAUUACUGAUCAGUUUGAUGUUUCUUACAUAGGUGUUAUACAUUUAAGACAUUUUCUUUGAUUUCUAUUUCUAUGUGCC